CAUAUUAAUUAGUUGGUAGGGUAAUGGCCUACCAAGACGAUGAUGUGUAGCUGGACUGAGAGGUUGAACAGCCACAUUGGGACUGAGACACGGCCCAAACUCCUACGGGAGGCAGCAGUAGGGAAUUUUCGGCAAUGGAGGAAACUCUGACCGAGCAACGCCGCGUGAAUGACGAAGUACUUCGGUAUGUAAAGUUCUUUUAUCGAGGAAGAAAAGCAAAUGGCGAACCAUUUGUUUGCCGGUACUUGAUGAAUAAGCCCCGGCUAAUUAUGUGCCAGCAGCCGCGGUAAGACAUAAGGGGCAAGUGUUAUCCGGAAUUAUUGGGCGUAAAGGGUGCGUAGGCGGUCUAGUAAGUCAGUGGUGUAAUGUCAACGCUUAACGUUGUCCGGCUAUUGAAACUGCUAAACUUGAGUUAGAUAGAGGCGAGUGGAAUUCCAUGUGUAGCGGUAAAAUGCGUAAAUAUAUGGAGGAACACCAGAGGCGUAGGCGGCUCGCUGGGUCUUAACUGACGCUGAGGCACGAAAGCGUGGGGAGCAAACAGGAUUAGAUACCCUGGUAGUCCACGCCGUAAACGAUGAGUACUAAGUGUCGGGUUAAACCGGUACUGAAGUUAACACAUUAAGUACUCCGCCUGAGUAGUACGUACGCAAGUAUGAAACUUAAAGGAAUUGACGGGACUCCGCACAAGCGGUGGAUCAUGUUGUUUAAUUCGAAGAUACCCGAAAAACCUUUACCAGGUCUUGACAUGUUUUUGCAAAAUGAUAGUAAUAUCGUGGAGGUUACCAGAAAACAACAGGUGGUGCAUGGUUGUCGUCAGCCUCGUGUCGUGAGAUGUUAGGUUAGUCCUAAACGAGCGAACCCUUAUCGUUAGUGCCAGCACGUUAUGGUGGGGACUUUAACGAGACUGCCAAUGAUAAAUUGGAGGAAGGUGAGGAUCACGUCAAAUCAGCAUGCCCCUUAUGACCUGGGCUACAAACGUGAUACAAUGGCUGUUCAAAGGGUAGCUGAAACGCAAGUUCUUGGCCAAUCCCCAAAAACAGUCCCAGUC
rnacentral:rRNA from 2 species